GCCAGCCACCGCGGUCACACAAGAGACCCAAAUUAACUGUAUGCGGCGUAAAGAGUGGUACUAUGAUAUCAUACAAACUAGGAUCGAAACACAACUAGGCUGUCAUAAGCUCAAGAUGUAUUUAAGACCACCCUCAAAAUGAUCCUAGUAUUUCUGAUUAAUUUAACCCCACGAAAGCUAGGGCACAAACUGGGAUUAGAUACCCCAUUAUGCCUAGCCCUAAAUCUUGAUGUUUGCCAUACCAAAACAUCCGCCCGAGAACUACGAGCACAAACGCUUAAAACUCUAAGGACUUGGCGGUGCCCUAAACCCACCUAGAGGAGCCUGUUCUGUAAUCGAUAAUCCACGAUUUACCCAACCAUCCCUCGCUAAAGCAGCCUACAUACCGCCGUCGCCAGCUCACCUUUACUGAGAGACAAGCAGUGAGCACAAUAGCCUAACUCGCUAGUAAGACAGGUCGAGGUAUAGCCCAUGGGAUGGAAGAAAUGGGCUACAUUUUCUAUAGUAGAAAACCUACGAAAGGGAGCAUGAAACAGCUCCCGGAAGGCGGAUUUAGCAGUAAAGUGGGACAAUAGAGCCCCCUUUAAGAUGGCCCUGGGGCACGUACAUACCGCCCGUCACCCUCCUCACAAGCCACCAAUUAUCAUAACUAAUAACCCUCAUGGCUGAAGAUGAGGUAAGUCGUAACAAGGUAAGUGUACCGGA
rnacentral:rRNA from 1 species